rnacentral:rRNA from 1 species
GACGUAGGGCGCGAGCGUUGUCCGGAUUUAUUGGGCGUAAAGAGCUCGUAGGCGGCUCGUUGCGUCGGCUGUGAAAACCCGCAGCUCAACUGUGGGCUUGCAGCUGAUACGGGCGGGCUGGAGUUCGGUAGGGGAGACUGGAAUUCCUGGUGUAGCGGUGAAAUGCGCAGAUAUCAGGAGGAACACCGGUGGCGAAGGCGGGUCUCUGGGCCGAUACUGACGCUGAUGCGCGAAAGCCAGGGGAGCGAACGGG